rnacentral:rRNA from 1 species
AUUGAACGCUGGCGGCAGGCCUAACACAUGCAAGUCGAGCGGAUGAAGGGAGUUUGCUCCUGGAUUCAGCGGCGGACGGGUGAGUAAUGCCUAGGAAUCUGCCUGGUAGUGGGGGAUAACGUCCGGAAACGGGCGCUAAUACCGCAUACGUCCUGAGGGAGAAAGUGGGGGAUCUUCGGACCUCACGCUAUCAGAUGAGCCUAGGUCGGAUUAGCUAGUUGGUGGGGUAAAGGCCUACCAAGGCGACGAUCCGUAACUGGUCUGAGAGGAUGAUCAGUCACACUGGAACUGAGACACGGUCCAGACUCCUACGGGAGGCAGCAGUGGGGAAUAUUGGACAAUGGGCGAAAGCCUGAUCCAGCCAUGCCGCGUGUGUGAAGAAGGUCUUCGGAUUGUAAAGCACUUUAAGUUGGGAGGAAGGGCAGUAAGUUAAUACCUUGCUGUUUUGACGUUACCAACAGAAUAAGCACCGGCUAACUCCGUG